CAAGAAUUGACCUUCUGGAUUUAUAUCCUAAAACAUUGAUGAUAGCCUUGCUCAUUUGUGUUCUACAAAAUUCUACCAACAUUAUGAUGUUAAGUAGCUCUCUGAAUGUUGUACUGCAUGAUAGAAUAUUUUUGUUUUGCAAUAGAUGUUGAUAGACUGCCCUCUACUGAUUUAUGCUUUGAAGAUUUUUGAUGCCUCAAAAUAUCAUAUUCCCUUCCCCCAUUGUAUUAACUAAAUACUGUAGAACAACUUCCCCGCA